CAAAAACGGCAAAGUUUAUUAUUUUGAACAUUAGAUAUCUUUCCUUUGUGGUGUAUUCAAUUGAAUAUACGUUGAAGAGGAUUUGCAAAUCAUUGUAUCCUGUUUUUAUUUACAUUUCACACAAUGUCCCAACUUCAUUGGAAUUGGGGUUGUA